GGGCCCGCACAAGCGGUGGAGUAUGUGGUUUAAUUCGAUGCAACGCGAAGAACCUUACCAGGGUUUGACAUCCUGCGAAUCUCUUGGAAACGAGAGAGUGCCUUCGGGAGCGCAGUGACAGGUGCUGCAUGGUUGUCGUCAGCUCGUGCUGUGAAGUGUCGGGUUAAGUCCCAUAACGAGCGCAACCCCCAUUUCUAGUUGCCAGCGGUUCGGCCGGGGACUCUAGAGAAACUGCCAGCGUAAGCUGUGAGGAAGGUGGGGAUGACGUCAAAUCAUCACGGCCCUUACAUCCUGGGCCACACACGUGCUACAAUGGUGGGGACAACAGGUUGCCAACCCGCGAGGGUGAGCCAAUCCCAAAACCCCAUCUCAGUUCGGAUCGGAGUCUGCAACUCGACUCCGUGAAGUUGGAAUCGCUAGUAAUCG
rnacentral:rRNA from 1 species